UGACGGGGACCCGCACAAGCGGUGGAUGAUGUGGAUUAAUUCGAUGCAACGCGAAAAACCUUACCUACCCUUGACAUGUCCGGAAUCCUGCAGAGAUGCGGGAGUGCUCGAAAGAGAACCGGAACACAGGUGCUGCAUGGCUGUCGUCAGCUCGUGUCGUGAGAUGUUGGGUUAAGUCCCGCAACGAGCGCAACCCUUAUCAUUAGUUGCUACGCAAGGGCACUCUAAUGAGACUGCCGGUGACAAACCGGAGGAAGGUGGGGAUGACGUCAAGUCCUCAUGGCCCUUAUGGGUAGGGCUUCACACGUCAUACAAUGGUCGGUACAGAGGGUUGCCAAGCCGCGAGGUGGAGCCAAUCCCAGAAAGCCGAUCGUAGUCCGGAUUGUUCUCUGCAACUCGAGAGCAUGAAGUCGGAAUCGCUAGUAAUCGCGGAUCAGCAUGUCGCGGUGAAUACGUUCCCGGGUCUUGUACACACCGCCCGUCACACCAUGGGAGUGGAAUCUGGCAGAAGUAGGUAGCCUAACCGCAAGGAGGGCGCUUACCACGCUGGG
rnacentral:rRNA from 1 species